AAAAGAAUCUUCAAUUACCUUGUUGGCAACAAAAUUAGGUAUGGAAAAUUGUAGGUAUGUCAGGUUACUAUGUUUUGUGGCCAUAAAAGUAGUAUCAAAACCUCAUCAACCGGGAAGUGCCAGUAGCGCGCAAGCAGGAAGUGGUGUUUCCUGGAGUAGAGAUGGCCGCGCUUGCUCCGCUGCCCCCGCUCCCCCCCCAGUUUAAGAGUAUACAGCAUCAUCUGAGGACGGCUCAGGAGCAUGACAAGCGGGACCCUGUGGUGGCUUAUUACUGUCGUUUAUAUGCUAUGCAGACUGGAAUGAAGAUUGACAGUAAAACUCCUGAAUGUCGUAAAUUUUUAUCAAAGCUAAUGGAUCAGUUAGAAGCUCUCAAGAAACAGUUGGGUGAUAAUGAAGCCAUUACUCAAGAAAUAGUUGGUUGUGCCCAUUUGGAGAAUUAUGCUCUGAAAAUGUUUUUGUAUGCAGACAAUGAAGAUCAUGCUGGGCGAUUUCACAAAAACAUGAUCAAGUCCUUCUAUACUGCAAGUCUUUUAAUAGAUGUCAUAACAGUAUUUGGAGAACUCACUGAUGAAAAUGUGAAACACAGGAAAUAUGCAAGGUGGAAAGCAACAUACAUCCACAAUUGUUUAAAGAAUGGGGAGACCCCACAAGCAGGCCCUGUUGGAAUUGAAGAAGAUAAUGACAUUGAAGAAAAUGAAGAUGCUGGAGCAACCUCUCUGCCCACUCAGCCACCUCAGCCAUCAUCAUCUUCAACUUACGACCCAAGCAACAUGCCAUCGGGCAACUAUACUGGAAUACAGAUUCCUCCAGGCGCACAUGCCCCAGCUAAUACACCAGCAGAAGUGCCUCACAGCACAAGUAGGAAACUAAAACUGAACAAUUUUUUAAUUCCCCUUUUAUAAAUAAUUGCUGUACUACUUAUCAUAUUUGUGCUUCAUAAUGAUAGCCGUGAACAUAUAUGGUCCUUAAAUUCCAUUUGAACCCACCAAAAAAUUAAAUUCUUUAAUUGAAGUUUUAA